UCCCCUCCACCUUCUUCCUCCCAUGCCCCAGCCCCCGAUCCACCAACCCACCGUCGCGUCCCCAGGCUGGCGACCUCUCACCGCCACGCCACCUCCCUCCCCUACACCUUCUCGCCACCUCCACCCCCCUGCGCCACCGCACCACCUCGAACCACCUACGCUCCACGCCGACCUGCCCCCGCGCAGGCCAGCCACCGGAUCCGCCCAUCGCAGUCCUCCCACGCGUGGUCGGCGUCGAAUCCGCGCGUCGCCGUCCCUGCCAACCACUUGGCCGAGAGCAGCUGGAUCCGCCCUGUCGUUAUCCUCCCGCGGCUGCUCGACGACGGAUCCACGCCAAGACAUCCUGGGGGCGUCCUCUCCGUCCCCAUAUGAAGGGUAACUUGGCUUCGCAGAUCGGAUGGUCAGCCGGUGAGCUCGACGGUCGCCGGUGACUCUCCCCUCCCAGUUCCUCCACCUCCUGCCUACCACCAUAGAGCGCAUCCAGAGGGGCGUGGGGGUGUCCGACGGCCUUCCCUUCCUUGCCAUGUCAAACCCCGACCUCCACUCUCGGCGCGAGGAGUGCAAAAUCACCCCGGCGAGGUCCACGACGCGUCCAUCCCGGUGGCUCGCGUGCAAGGUCUCGGGCGCCAUGGCUUGUUCAGACGUGGGCGCCAUGGUCUCCUGCUACAGACGUGGGAGCCAUGGUCUCCUGCUACAGACAUGGCGUGCAAGGUCUCGGGCGCCAUGGUCUCCUGCUACAGACGUUCGCUACCCCGACGGUGGCAGUUGGCUGUGACGCCUGCUGCAGUCCAUACCCAGCGUGGUGGUUCGUUCCCCAGCGGCGACCUUCUGCCCUCCUCCCGAUCGUGCUUGGGAUCCCACGCGGUGAAGAUUCUAGGUUGGCCUUGCAGUUCACUGGCAAGAAUCUGCCUCUCCCCUGCAUAGAUGUAGUUUGGCCAGAAGGGCUCUGUAGACCGGCGGUUCAGCUCGCGAAUGCUUUCAGUUUGUCGACACCCACAUGGUCGUGCAGCUCGCUGGCACACGCAGUCCUCCCCCCAGCGGCAUGCAGUACGACACUCUCACUGGUCCAGCCCACUGGCUGCACCUACGCGCGACGACGAUGAAGAGCGUGGCGUGCAGCUCGUCGCGGCUCGGCUUGUCGCGGCAUGCAGUCCGCUUGGUAUGUUGGAGAGGUUCAUUUUUCAUGAAAAAAAGGUUGAUGCAGACCACUUUGAGGAGUACUGUGGUCCACUUCAGUCAAAUGCAUUUAUUUUUUGUAAAAGUAUAUGCAGUCUGUUUGGGAACUGCUUGCGGUUUGCACGGCUGGUGUGUGAA